CCAAUAGCGUAUAUUAAAGUUGUUGCAGUUAAAAAGCUCGUAGUUGAAUUUCGGGGUCAGUAGGUUGGUCAUGCCACUGGUAUGUACUGGUCUCACUGAUUCCUCCUUCCUGAUGAACUGUAAUGCCAUUAAUUUGGUGUUGCAGGGAAUCUGGACUGUUACUUUGAAAAAAUUAGAGUGUUUAAAGCAGGCUAACGCCUGAAUACAUUAGCAUGGAAUAAUGAAAUAGGACGUUCGAUCCUAUUUUGUUGGUUCCUAGGAUUGACGUAAUGAUUAAUAGGGAUAGUUGGGGGCAUUAGUAUUCAAUUGUCAGAGGUGAAAUUCUUGGAUUUAUUGAAGACUAACUACUGCGAAAGCAUUUGCCAAGGAUGUUUUCAUUAAUCAAGAACGAAAGUUAGGGGAUCGAAGACGAUCAGAUACCGUCGUAGUCUUAACCAUAAACUAUGCCGACUAGGGAUCGGAUGAUGUUAAUUUUUUAAUGACUCAUUCGGCGCCUUACG
rnacentral:rRNA from 1 species